rnacentral:rRNA from 1 species
ACACCAGACUCCUACGGGAGGCAGCAGUGGGGAAUAUUGGACAAUGGGGGGAACCCUGGUCCAGCGACGCCGCGUGAGUGAAGAAGUAUUUCGGUAUGUAAAGCUCUAUCAGCAGGGAAGAAAGAAAUGACGGUACCUGACUAAGAAGCCCCGGCUAACUACGUGCCAGCAGCCGCGGUAAUACGUAUGGUGCAAGCGUUAUCCGGAUUUACUGGGUGUAAAGGGAGCGCAGGCGGUUCUGCAAGUCUGAUGUGAAAGCCCGGGGCUCAACCGCGGGACUGCAUUGGAAACUGCGGGACUGGAGUGUCGGAGGGGUAAGCGGAAUUCCUGGUGUAGCGGUGAAAUGCGUAGAUAUCAGGAGGAACACCGGUGGCGAAGGCGGCUUACUGGACGAUGACUGACGCUGAGGCUCGAAAGCGUGGGGAGCAAACAGGAUUAGAUACCCCCGUA